GGGGAAAGUGAGGACAAAUGCGACAAGGCGGUAGUGAGCUCGUGUUGUGAAAUGUUGGGUUAAGUCCCAAAAAGAGCGCAACCAUUAUCCUUGUUGCCAGCGGUCCGUCCGGGAACUCAAAGGAACUCCAUGAUAAAUGGAGGAAGGUGGGGAUGAAGUCAAGUCAUCAUGGACCUUAUGGCCAGGGUACACACGUGCUACAAUCGGGCAUACAAAGAGAAGGGACCUUUGAGAGCAAGCGGACCUCAUAAAGUCCGUCGUAAUCCGGAUUGGAGUGUGCAACUCGAAUCCAUGAAGUCGGAAUCGCUAGUAUUCGUGGAUCAGAAUACCACGGGGAAUACGUUCCCGGGCCUUGUUCUCNCCGCCCGUCACACCAUGGGAGUAGGUUGCAAAAGAAGUAGGUAGCUUAACCUUCGAGAGGGCGCUUAUCAUUUUGUUAUUCAUGAAUGGGGUGAAGUUGUAACAAGGUAACAGUAGGGGAACCUCCGGCCGGAUCCCCUAAUU
rnacentral:rRNA from 1 species